rnacentral:rRNA from 1 species
UGACGGUAUCAUAUGAAUAAGCACCGGCUAACUCCGUGCCAGCAGCCGCGGUAAUACGGGGGGUGCAAGCGUUACUCGGAAUCACUGGGCGUAAAGAGCAUGUAGGCGGGUGAAUAAGUUGGAAGUGAAAUCCUAUAGCUUAACUAUAGAACUGCUUCCAAAACUGUUCACCUAGAGUAUGGGAGAGGUAGAUGGAAUUUCUGGUGUAGGGGUAAAAUCCGUAGAGAUCAGAAGGAAUACCGAUUGCGAAGGCGAUCUACUGGAACAUUACUGACGCUCAGAUGCGAAAGCGUGGGGGGCAAACAGGAUUAGAUACCCUGGUAGUCCACGCCCUAAACGAUGUACACUAGUUGUUGCUAUACUAGAUAUGGCAGUAAUGCAGUUAACACUUUAAGUGUACCGCCUGGGGAGUACGGUCGCAAGAUUAAAACUCAAAGGAAUAGACGGGGACCCGCACAAGCGGUGGAGCAUGUGGUUUAAUUCGACGAUACGCGAAAAACCUUACCUGGCCUUGACAUAGUAGGAAUCUUUAAGAGAUUAGAGAGUGCUAGCUUGCUAGAACCUACAUACAGGUGCUGCACGGCUGUCGUCAGC